rnacentral:rRNA from 1 species
UACGAAGGGGGCUAGCGUUGCUCGGAAUGACUGGGCGUAAAGGGCUCGUAGGUGGUCAACUAAGUCGGACGUGAAAUCCCUCGGCUUAACCGGGGAACUGCAUCUGAUACUGGAUGGCUUGAGUUUGGGAGAGGGAUGCGGAAUUCCUGGUGUAGCGGUGAAAUGCGCAGAUAUCAGGAGGAACACCGGUGGCGAAGGCGGUGCUCUGGGCCAGUACUGACGCUGAGGAGCGAAAGCGUGGGUAGCAAACAGG